AACGGAGCAGCCAUUGAAACUCCAUCAUGAUAGGUGAGCUGGUUAAAGUCCUGUAUUUAUCCGGCUUCCAGGGUUAAGUACAGAAAGGCCAGGAGAGGAGGGGGUGUCUUCUGACUGCAGCGAUGGAGAUGAAAAGGAGACUGUUUCCUCCCAUCCACAGGGAGCUGGUGGGGCGUGCGUUCCUCAUCACGAGACUGCACCUUGCCCAGCACAUCUGGAAAAGCUGCUCUGGGGUGUGUGUUACACCCCACACAAUCUCGCCCGGUCCUUCGGAAAGUCUUCUGGAAUUUGGGAGCCUGGGAGAUGUUGAAAGGUUCUGAUCAGUGGUAGAGGCCUCCAGAAUUAAGGAUGGCGUGUAUAAAACCACAGUUGCCUGGAGCAUCUCCACACUUGCUCGCAGUGGAAUCCUCCCUUAGCCACUCUUGGCUUUUCCUGGAAGAACGGCCUCUGCAGCUGUCGCUUGGCUGGAGGAAAGGCGGGGGACCCCACAGCCCCCCUGCCCAAGAACCAGGGACAUCGCCACAUUCUGCGCCCUUAGGACUAACGUCAGGUUCGGCCUAGAGUAGGUUUUGGCAAAAUGUCUGCCAAUGAAUCGUGUCCCCUCUUCCUGGAGAUAUUAAGCAAUAUUCUUUGCUUUGUCCACACUUUCAGGAGGAGAGAAGGUGUAUCGGCAAAGGAUGGUGCUGAAGCAUGAAGCUGCUGCUGCAGCCUUGAAGCUGGAAGGCUCGCCCUGAAGUUAGACGGGUUGGGGUACCCAACCCCUGCCAAACCCACCUCUGUGUUCCUGUCUGCCUGGGAAAAAGAAAAGACACUCUCGAUCCGUCACCUGAAGUAGCCACAAUUAGGAAAGUGUCAGGACUGCAUUGUCUGAGUUCUUUGCCAGGAUCCCGGGAGUAGGGGUGGGGAGGGACAAAGGUGUGGGCUGAGCGGACCCUUCAGACAACCCCGUUGUCUCCAGGGCGGGGGGAUCUCUUUAAAAAAACACGUGAGGCUCCCCUGGAACUGUUCAUGUCCUUCUUCUCAAGGGCACACACGGCAGAAGCGACCCCGGCUCUCAGAUCACAGGCUCUGUG
rnacentral:lncRNA from 1 species